AUUCGUUCCGGACCGUGGCGCUAGUAGAUGACGCCCGCGUGAGUAUUAGUCUUGGUUGGGUGGGUAAUGGCCUACCAAGGCAACGAUCUCUAGCUGGUCUGAGAGGACGAUCAGCCACACUGGGACUGAGACACGGCCCAGACUCCUACGGGAGGCAGCAGGUGGGGAAUAUUGGACAAUGGGCGAAAGCCUGAUCCAGCAAUGCCGCGUGUGUGAAGAAGGCCUGAGGGUUGUAAAGCACUUUCAAUCGUGAAGAAAAGUUGCAGGCUAAUACCCUGUGACCUUGACGUUAACGAUACAAGAAGCACCGGCUAACUCCGUG
rnacentral:rRNA from 1 species